rnacentral:rRNA from 1 species
UACAGAGGGUGCAAACGUUGCUCGGAAUGAUUGGGCGUAAAGCGCGUGUAGGCGGCCGAUUAUGCCGGUUGUGAAAGCCCGUGGCUCAACCACGGAAGUGCAGUCGGAACUGAUCGGCUAGAGUACCAAAGAGGGUGGCGGAAUGCCCAGUGUAGAGGUGAAAAUUCGUAGAUAUUGGGUAGAACACCGGUGGCGAAGGCGGCCACCUGGGAGGCU